GACGAACGCUGGCGGCGUGCUUAACACAUGCAAGUCGAACGGAAAGGCCCUGCUUUUGUGGGGUGCUCGAGUGGCGAACGGGUGAGUAACACGUGAGUAACCUGCCCUUGACUUUGGGAUAACUUCAGGAAACUGGGGCUAAUACCGGAUAGGAGCUCCUGCUGCAUGGUGGGGUUGGGAAGUUUCGGGGGUUGGGGAUGGGAUGCGGGAUUAGCAGCUUGGUGGGGGGGUAGUGGACUACGAAGGCUUUGAGGGGUAGGCCGCCUGAGAGGGUGACCGGCCACAUUGGGACUGAGAUACGGCCCAGACUCCUACGGGAGGCAGCAGUGGGGAAUAUUGCACAAUGGGCGGAAGCCUGAUGCAGCAACGCCGCGUGCGGGAUGACGGCCUUCGGGUUGUAAACCGCUUUCGCCUGUGACGAAGCGUGAGUGACGGUAAUGGGUAAAGAAGCACCGGCUAACUACGUG
rnacentral:rRNA from 1 species